rnacentral:rRNA from 1 species
UGGGGAAUCUUGCACAAUGGGGGCAACCCUGAUGCAGCGACGCCGCGUGAGCGAUGAAGGUUUUCGAAUCGUAAAGCUCUGUCCUAUGGGAAGAUAAUGACGGUACCAUAGGAGGAAGCCCCGGCUAACUACGUGCCAGCAGCCGCGGUAAUACGUAGGGGGCGAGCGUUGUCCGGAAUUACUGGGCGUAAAGGGUUCGCAGGCGGCAUGGCAAGUCCGAUGUAAAAGGCGAAGGCUCAACCUUCGUAAGCAUCGGAAACUGUCAAGCUUGAGUGAAGGAGAGGCAAGUGGAAUUCCUAGUGUAGCGGUGGAAUGCGUAGAUAUUAGGAGGAGUACCGGUGGCGAAGGCGACUUGCUGGACUUCAACUGACGCUGAGGAACGAAAGCGUGGGUAGCAAACAGG